GAUGAACGCUGGCGGCGUGCCUAAUACAUGCGAGUCGAGCGAACGGACGAGAAGCUUGCUUCUCUGAUGUUAGCGGCGGACGGGUGAGUAACACGUGGAUAACCUACCUAUAAGACUGGGAUAACUUCGGGAAACCGGAGCUAAUACCGGAUAAUAUUUUGAACCGCAUGGUUCAAAAGUGAAAGACGGUCUUGCUGUCACUUAUAGAUGGAUCCGCGCUGCAUUAGCUAGUUGGUAAGGUAACGGCUUACCAAGGCAACGAUGCAUAGCCGACCUGAGAGGGUGAUCGGCCACACUGGAGCUGAGACACGGUCCAGACGCCUACGGGAGGCAGCAGUAGGGAAUCUUCCGCAAUGGGCGAAAGCCUGACGGAGCAACGCCGCGUGAGUGAUGAAGGUCUUCGGAUCGUAAAACUCUGUUAUUGGGGAAGAACAUAUGUGUAAGUAACUGUGCACAUCUUGACGGUACCUAAUCAGAAAGCCACGGCUAACUACGUG
rnacentral:rRNA from 1 species